UUUCCCAAAGUCCAACCUCUAACUCCGCCCCUAUGAGCCAAUUGGUCCACAGAAUAUGACGUGUGCUCUCUGCACCGAAGCACACUAACGCAGGCUCUUGGAUGCAAGAGCGGGAAAUUUGAAUUUAAGUUGCUGUAAUGGAGGACGAGCGAAGGAGCUAGCGGGGAUAAUGGACGGUCAUUCAACUCGUGGCUGCUGAUGAGAUGAUUUGGGAAACAGCCCCUUGUCAUGAGCAGAAUGUUGAAGGGCCCACCCCAGCUCACCUUGUGCAGAAGAACACACCAACACACCCCUUAAUAGAAGGGUGGUGUGGCUCCCUCGUGUGACACACUGGCACACAUUUGGGAAAGGAGGGAAGGUUCGCCUAUUUUGCUGUCAUGAAGAGCCCUGCAGCUGGACCUGACCAAAAGCUCAACAAUAGUUUAAAUUAGAGUCAGUCUUUAAUGCCAUAGUUGUUCAUGGCUGUGCUAAUGCACUCAUGCAUUACUCAAACACAGAAAGCAGUCCCCUCCACAGCAGAUCAUUCAGGUGGGCAUUUUCUUGAGCAAUCCAAACUGCUGCUCCCAUUUUUUCAGUGUUUAUGAUACUUUCUUUGCUGCAAUAAUUACCGGAGCGCAUUUUUGUUAAGCAUUGAGAAUAAAACAAUUUCGGAAAGAA